GCUGAACUUAAGCAUAUCAAUAAGCGGAGGAAAAGAAACCAACAGGGAUUGCCCCAGUAGCGGCGAGUGAAGCGGCAAGAGCUCAGAUUUGAAAUCGUGUUUCGGCACGAGUUGUAGAGUGUAGGCGGGAGUCUCUGUGGAGCGCGGUGUCCAAGUCCCUUGGAACAGGGUGCCUGAGAGGGUGAGAGCCCCGUAGGGUGCUGCGCGAAGCUUUUGAGGCCCUGCUGACGAGUCGAGUUGUUUGGGAAUGCAGCUCCAAGCGGGUGGUAAAUUCCAUCUAAGGCUAAAUAUUGGCGAGAGACCGAUAGCGAACAAGUACUGUGAAGGAAAGAUGAAAAGCACUUUGAAAAGAGAGUGAAACAGCACGUGAAAUUGUUGAAAGGGAAGGGUAUUGGGCUCGACAUGGGGGGUGCGCACCGCUGUCUCUUGUAGGCGGCGCUCUGGGCGCCCUCUGGGCCAGCAUCGGUUCCUGCUGCGGGAGAAGGGGCUCCGGAAAGUGGCUCUUCGGAGUGUUAUAGCCGGGGCCAGAUGCCGCGUGUGGGGACCGAGGACUGCGGCUUCUGUCUCGGAUGCUGGCAUAACGGCGCAAUACCGCCCGUCUUGAAACAUGGACCAAG
rnacentral:rRNA from 1 species